UACGGAGGGUGCAAGCGUUAAUCGGAAUUACUGGGCGUAAAGCGCGCGUAGGCGGUUAGUUAAGCUAGAUGUGAAAGACCAGGGCUUAACCUUGGAACUUCAUUUAGAACUGGCAGACUAGAGUAUGGCAGAGGAGUGUGGAAUUUCCGGUGUAGCGGUGAAAUGCGUAGAGCUCGGAAGGAACACCAGUGGCGAAGGCGACACUCUGGGCCAAUACUGACGCUGAGGUGCGAAAGCGUGGGGAGCAAACAGG
rnacentral:misc_RNA from 1 species